rnacentral:rRNA from 1 species
UGGGGAAUAUUGGACAAUGGGCGCAAGCCUGAUCCAGCCAUGCCGCGUGAGUGAUGAAGGCCCUAGGGUUGUAAAGCUCUUUUGUGCGGGAAGAUAAUGACGGUACCGCAAGAAUAAGCCCCGGCUAACUUCGUGCCAGCAGCCGCGGUAAUACGAAGGGGGCUAGCGUUGCUCGGAAUCACUGGGCGUAAAGGGUGCGUAGGCGGGUUUCUAAGUCAGAGGUGAAAGCCUGGAGCUCAACUCCAGAACUGCCUUUGAUACUGGAAGGCGUGAGUAUGGCAGAGGUGAGUGGAACUGCGAGUGUAGAGGUGAAAUUCGUAGAUAUUCGCAAGAACACCAGUGGCGAAGGCGGCUCACUGGGCCAUUACUGACGCUGAGGCACGAAAGCGUGGGGAGCAAACAG